rnacentral:rRNA from 1 species
CCUUUGUACACACCGCCCGUCGCUACUACCGAUUGAAUGGCUCAGUGAGGCUUUCGGACUGGCCUAGAGAGGUGGGCAACUACCACUCGGGGCCGGAAAGUUAUCCAAACUCGGUCAUUUAGAGG